rnacentral:lncRNA from 1 species
AUUAGUCUCGGGUUUUGGGCGGGAAGAGGACUAGGCAAAGGCAAUUUGCAAAUGGCGCUUCACUUCCUGUAGAAACACAAAGGGGGGAGGUGCUGUCGGUCGUCUCUCUCACUUGACAGACGCUGUUCGUAAAAUAUUUAGAUGAUGACUUGAAGAUGGAGGAUGCAAGAAAUGAUCAAGAGUUCUUCUGGUGACCUGACACUUGCUGCACCAGAAACAAGUCAGGUUGGGUUCUGGACCUUGUCAAGGAGAGGUGCGCACUCUGUUGUACCACACAUCUUGCACUGCUGUACCACACAACUUGCCUCACUUGUACUGCUGUACCACACAUCUUGCCUCACUUGUACUGCUGUACCACACAUCUUGCCUCACUUGUACUGCUGUACCACACAUCUUGCAUCACUUGUACUGCUGUACCACACCUUGCCUCACUUGUACUGCUGUACCACACAUCUUGCCUCACUUGUACUGCUGUACCAGGCUUCUCUCCUCCAAUAUCAGGAUGGCAAGUGAUUCACAACACAACUAAAGGAAGCAGGUGCCAAGAUACAGCCAAAACCCAGCCUUCCACCCCUCCUCUCUACCUCAGAAAUGUUGUUCUGAACACGAGUGCCGUGCUGCCCUAGACUGUGUUUACUGGCUACUGCCUUGGACUUCCCUGUACUUGCUUGCUGGCUGCUACCCUGGACAGCUCUGCUCUGUGCUUGCUGCCCUGGACGGCUCUGCUCUGUGCUUGCUGGCUGCUGCCCUGGACGGCUCUGCUCUGUGCUUGCUGGCUGCUGCCCUGGACG